GACCUCAAAUCAGGUAAGAGUACCCGCUGAACUUAAGCAUAUCAAUAAGCGGAGGAAAAGAAAAUAACAAUGAUUCCCUUAGUAACGGCGAGUGAAGGGGGAUAAGCUCAAAUUUUAAAUCUGACUAGGUUUUACCUAUCAGAGUUGUAUUUUGAAGAAGCGUUUUCCGCGUCUCGGUUGGCCCAAGUCCUUUGGGAUAAGGUAUCAUGGAGGGUGAGAAUCCCGUUCGGUUGACCUUAUGACGCUUUACGAUACGCUCUCAAAGAGUCGAGUUGUUUGGGAUUGCAGCUCAAAAUGGGAGGUAAAUUUCUCCUAAGGCUAAAUAUCGGCGAGAGACCGAUAGCGAACAAGUACCGUGAGGGAAAGAUGAAAAGAACUUUGAAAAGAGAGUAAAAUAGUACGUGAAAUUGUUGAAAGGGAAACUGAUUGAAG
rnacentral:rRNA from 1 species